UUAGGCGACAGGUAGGCAAAUCCGCCUGUCAUAUACCGAGGCUGCCGAUCGAGCGAGCUUGCUCGCGAAGUGAUUGAACGAGGUCCCAGGAAAAGCCACUAAGCUUCAGCUACACACGACCGUACCGCAAACCGACACUGGUGCGCGAGAUGAGUAUUCUAAGGCGCUUGAGAGAACUCGGGAGAAGGAACUCGGCAAAUUGACACCGUAACUUCGGAAGAAGGUGUGCCCUAUUAGUGUGAAGUGAACAACGGAGCAUGAAUGGGUUGCAAAAAAUCGGUGGCUGCGACUGUUUAUUAAAAACACAGCACUCUGCAAACACGAAAGUGGACGUAUAGGGUGUGACGCCUGCCCGGUGCUGGAAGAUUAAAUGAUGGGGUGCAAGCUCUUGAUUGAAGUCCCAGUAAACGGCGGCCGUAACUAUAACGGUCCUAAGGUAGCGAAAUUCCUUGUCGGGUAAGUUCCGACCUGCACGAAUGGCGUAACGAUGGCCACACUGUCUCCUCCCGAGACUCAGCGAAGUUGAAAUGUUUGUGAUGAUGCAAUCUCCCCGCGGAAAGACGGAAAGACCCCAUGAACCUUUACUGUAGCUUUGUAUUGGACUUUGAACAGAUCUGUGUAGGAUAGGUGGGAGGCUUUGAAGCAGGGUCGCUAGAUCUUGUGGAGCCAACGUUGAAAUACCACCCUGGUGUGUUUGAGGUUCUAACCUAGGUCCAUUAUCUGGAUCGGGGACAGUGCAUGGUAGGCAGUUUGACUGGGGCGGUCUCCUCCCAAAGCGUAACGGAGGAGUUCAAAGGUACGCUAGUUACGGUCGGACAUCGUGACGAUAGUGCAAUGGCAUAAGCGUGCUUAACUGCGAGACUGACAAGUCGAGCAGAUGCGAAAGCAGGACAUAGUGAUCCGGUGGUUCUGUAUGGAAGGGCCAUCGCUCAACGGAUAAAAGGUACUCUGGGGAUAACAGGCUGAUACCGCCCAAGAGUUCAUAUCGACGGCGGUGUUUGGCACCUCGAUGUCGGCUCAUCACAUCCUGGGGCUGUAGCCGGUCCCAAGGGUAUGGCUGUUCGCCUUUUAAAGAGGUACGUGAGCUGGGUUUAAAACGUCGUGAGACAGUUUGGUCCCUAUCUUCCGUGGGCGCUGCAGAUUUGAGGAAGCCUGCUCCUAGUACGAGAGGACCGGAGUGGACGCACCUCUGGUGUAUCGGUUGUCACGCCAGUGGCAUUGCCGAGUAGCUAUGUGCGGAAGAGAUAACCGCUGAAAGCAUCUAAGCGGGAAACUCGUUCCUAGAUGAGAUCUGCCGGGGCCUUGAGCCCCCUAAAGAGUCGUUCAAGACCAGGACGUUGAUAGGUCGGGUGUGGAGGCGCAGUAAUGCGUUAAGCUAACCGAUACUAAUUGCUCGUGCGGCUUGAUCG
rnacentral:rRNA from 1 species